rnacentral:rRNA from 1 species
CCUACGGGGGGCAGCAGUGAGGAAUAUUGGUCAAUGGCCGAGAGGCUGAACCAGCCAAGUCGCGUGAGGGAUGACGGCCCUACGGGUUGUAAACCUCUUUUGUCGGGGAGCAAGACCCGCCUCGUGCAGGCGGAGCGAGAGUACCCGAAGAAAAAGCAUCGGCUAACUCCGUGCCAGCAGCCGCGGUAAUACGGAGGAUGCGAGCGUUAUCCGGAUUUAUUGGGUUUAAAGGGUGCGCAGGCGGAGGCACAAGUCAGCGGUAAAAUCGCGGGGCUCAACCCCGCUCCGCCGUUGAAACUGUGUCC